CCCAGUAGCACUACACUACCCUGAACAUACAGAUUUCAUCUGAUUUUAGAAGCUAAGCAGAGUCAGACCUGCUUAAUACUUAGAUCAGAGACUCCCAGGGAACAGUAUCUCCAGGUGUGGUUGGAA
rnacentral:rRNA from 1 species